GGAAGAAGGGGGGCCUUUNANAAAUGAGGAAACCCCUAUCCNAAUUUUACACCCUGUGCACCUUUUGUAGGCUGACAUUGUUGGCCUAUGUUUUUCAAUACACCACUGUCAUAAAAGUUUUUAGAAUGCCAUUUUGAAAAUAUAUACAACUUUCAACAACGGAUCUCUUGGCUCUCGCAUCGAUGAAGAACGCAGCGAAAUGCGAUAAGUAAUGUGAAUUGCAGAAUUCAGUGAAUCAUCGAAUCUUUGAACGCACCUUGCGCUCCUUGGUAUUCCGAGGAGCAUGCCUGUUUGAGUGUCAUUAAAUUCUCAAACCUCUCUAUUAUUAUUAUAGAGAGGCAUUUGGACUUGGAGUGUUGCUGGCUUCAUUUGUCAGCUACUCUUAAAUGCAUUAGCUUGUAUCUUGNGGAUAAGCUUUGGUUUGAUAAUAUCUAUGCCAUCGCUGUGAAACAAAUGUCAGCUUCUAAACCAUUCAUAUCUUAACAAUUUGACCUCAAAUCAGGUAGGACUACCCGCUGAACUUAAGCAUAUCAAUAAGCGGA
rnacentral:rRNA from 1 species